GCGUGCGUAGCUCAGCUGGAUAGAGCGCUUCCCUCCGAAGGAAGAGGUCGUGGGUUCGACUCCCGCCGCGCGCA
rnacentral:tRNA from 2 species